GGGGUUGAGGCUCAGCGGUAGAGUGCUCGCCUGGCAUGCGUGAGGCCCUGGGUUCAAUUUUCAACACCACA
rnacentral:tRNA from 1 species